AUUGAACGCUGGCGGCAUGCUUUACACAUGCAAGUCGAACGGCAGCACGGAGAGCUUGCUCUCUGGUGGCGAGUGGCGAACGGGUGAGUAAUACAUCGGAACGUACCCAGUAGUGGGGGACAACCAGCCGGAAAGGUUGGCUAAUACCGCAUAAUACCUACGGGGGAAAGCAGGGGACCUUAGGGCCUUGUGCUACUGGAGCGGCCGAUGACAGAUUAGGUAGUUGGUGGGGUAAAGGCCUACCAAGCCCGCGAUCUGUAGCUGGUCUGAGAGGAUGAUCAGCCACACUGGGACUGAGACACGGCCCAGACUCCUACGGGAGGCAGCAGUGGGGAAUUUUGGACAAUGGGGGGAACCCUGAUCCAGCCAUGCCGCGUGUGUGAAGAAGGCCUUUUGGUUGUAAAGCACUUUAAGUCGUGAAGAAGAGUUGUAGUAACGAUACAACUUUGACAUUAGCGACAGAAUAAGCACCGGCUAACUUCGUGCC
rnacentral:rRNA from 1 species